UGUGAGUAGAGUGCAGUCAGCGGAGACGGAGGGCCAUGGCUCUGAAUGGGACAGCGGAAGACCCCAUGAAAGGAGAGGACGCAGCCACUGAGACAGGGGCCUCCAAACAGCCUGCCUGAUCACGCAAGAACAAGGGCGUCGAGCAGGGGCCUCAUGCCAGAUGACCACUCAGGGGAAAUAUGCUCCUGCCUGUCUGUUUCAUGUUUAUAUUACGGCGAGAGGAAGCGGCCCGGAGAAGGAAAGGAACCAGACAAAUUACUGAAUGAGGGAGCAUUGUGGAUGGCCCAUAUACCAAUUAGACCUGUCACUCCCAUUCACCAGCAGUCUCUGACGUGAAGGACACCAGGCCUCCGGAGAUCUUGUCCCAGUGGAAGAAAUGCUCUCUGCUUCUUUUUUUUCCAUAACAUAUUAUUUAUAUCUGACAGGCCUCCUUGAGACAAAUGGCUGCCAUAUGGAGACAGGGAAAACUCUCUGUCCCUUCUUUUUUUCCCCGUGUGUUUCAGCUUUUGAAAUUUCAAUCACGUUUUUUGUUUCAAUUGUUUUUUUUCUCCUGAGGAUUUAGCUCUGGCUUCUUAGAAGGCAUAUGUGAGAAGUGUGCAGCUUCAUCAUGUUAAAGGACAUAUACUGGAGUGCAGAUACACUACAGCACUCUAGUUUAAACCAUGAGCGCUCUGGCACCAGAGCAAAUCAUAUGUAGCAAGUUUAUA